UACGUAGGUCCCGAGCGUUGUCCGGAUUUAUUGGGCGUAAAGCGAGCGCAGGUGGUUUAUUAAGUCUGGUGUAAAAGGCAGUGGCUCAACCAUUGUAUGCAUUGGAAACUGGUAGACUUGAGUGCAGGAGAGGAGAGUGGAAUUCCAUGUGUAGCGGUGAAAUGCGUAGAUAUAUGGAGGAACACCGGUGGCGAAAGCGGCUCACUGGCCUGUAACUGACACUGAGGCUCGAAAGCGUGGGGAGCAAACAGG
rnacentral:rRNA from 1 species